rnacentral:rRNA from 1 species
CAUAUGCUUCACGGGCAACACAUGUUGCAGUUGAGGAAAGGAGCAAUCCGCUAAUAGAUGGGCUUGCGUCUGAUUAGCCUAGUUGGUGGGGUAAUGGCCUACCAAGGCGACGAUCAGUAGCCGGACUGAGAGGUUGAACGGCCACAUUGGGACUGAGAUACGGCCCAGACUCCUACGGGAGGCAGCAGUCGGGAAUAUUGCGCAAUGGAGGAAACUCUGACGCAGUGACGCCGCGUAUAGGACGAAGGUCUUCGGAUUGUAAACUAUUGUCGUUAGGGAAGAGAAAGGACAGUACCUAAGGAGGAAGCUCCGGCUAACUACGUG